GGUGAGUAAUGCCUAGGAAAUUGCCUUGAUGUGGGGGGAUAACCAUUGGAAACGAUGGCUAAUACCGCAUAAUGCCUACGGGCCAAAGAGGGGGACCUUCGGGCCUCUCGCGUCAAGAUAUGCCUAGGUGGGAUUAGCUAGUUGGUGAGGUAAUGGCUCACCAAGGCGACGAUCCCUAGCUGGUCUGAGAGGAUGAUCAGCCACACUGGAACUGAGACACGGUCCAGACUCCUACGGGAGGCAGCAGUGGGGAAUAUUGCACAAUGGGCGAAAGCCUGAUGCAGCCAUGCCGCGUGUAUGAAGAAGGCCUUCGGGUUGUAAAGUACUUUCAGUUGUGAGGAAGGGGGUWRYGUUAAUAGCGYUAUCUCUUGACGUUAGCAACAGAAGAAGCACCGGCUAACUCCGUGCCAGCAGCCGCGGUAAUACGGAGGGUGCGAGCGUUAAUCGGAAUUACUGGGCGUAAAGCGCAUGCAGGUGGUUCAUUAAGUCAGAUGUGAAAGCCCGGGGCUCAACCUCGGAACUGCAUUUGAAACUGGUGAACUAGAGUACUGUAGAGGGGGGUAGAAUUUCAGGUGUAGCGGUGAAAUGCGUAGAGAUCUGAAGGAAUAC
rnacentral:rRNA from 1 species